rnacentral:rRNA from 1 species
GUACACGCUGUGACUAGCAUAUCAAAUAAGCGGAGGAAAAGAAACUAACAAGGAUUCCCCUAGUAACGGCGAGUGAAGCGGGAAGAGCUCAAAUUUGAAAUCUUAAAGGGUUUCCCUUUACGAAUUGUAGUUUAAAGAAGUGUUUUCUGUUGAGGUUUUGGUAAAAGUUCUUUGGAAUAGGACAUCAUAGAGGGUGAGAAUCCCGUAUUUGACCUUUACUUUCAACUUUGUGAUACACUUUCAAAGAGUCGGAUUGUUUGGGAAUGCAGUCCAAAAUGGGUGGUAAAUUUCAUCUAAAGCUAAAUACUGGCGAGAGACCGAUAGCGAACAAGUACCGUGAGGGAAAGAUGAAAAGAACUUUGAAAAGAGAGUUAAACAGUACGUGAAAUUGUCAAAAGGGAAGCGUUUGACACCAGUGUUGUUUUUCUGAAAAUCAAUUAAAGAACUGUUUAUGCUAAGCUGUUUAGACUUUAUCAGCUAUCUGUUUAGUUUUGAGCUUUUCUUUAAUGCACUUUUCAGUUAACAAGUCAACAUCAAUUUCUUUUGCUGUAAAAAAGCUUGAGGAAGGUGGCUUGAGAUUCGUCUUAAGCGUUUAUAGCCUCUUGCCUAUGCAGUCGGAGAGAUUGAGGUCUGCAGCGUAGAUCCUUCGGGGCUAAAUGCAUUUGUGCUAAGUUAUAGCAUUUUAUAGACAACUUGUUGACUAUGAUUUGUCUUGUAGCUUACUCGCUUAUGUUAUUUUACCUACGCUUAGGAUGUUGAAGAUGUAGCACAUCAU